CCGUUCCGCCCACCAUUCCAACAAUGGGAGCCAUUUUCAAGGAUGCAGCCUUGAGCGAGCAAUGUGUUCUUGAGCCCAUCCGGAUGGUAUACACAACUGAAGCCAGUUAAGGCCUCUAUAAACUUAUAAGAUUCUGGCAGGUGGGUGCAGAGAUCUACUCGUCUUGCAACUGCCCAAGGCAAGACUUGUAUGACUACGUGAGCUACUGCAUUACAGGAAAACCCUCGGAACUAUGCCUGGCACACAGCAAGUAUUUGAUGAACGUCAGAUAGUAAUGGAUUAGACUACUGUUUCUCCAACAAGAAUUUGAGUUCCUCUGCCCAGCUCAUGUCGGUAUUCCCAAAACCUGGGAACCUAAUGCAGCGCUCUGCAUCUUGGGCACCAGGUUUGAAGAAAUGCCAAAAAUUCUGACCGAGUCAUCCUCUUCCAGGAAUCUGUCCUGAGGAAAUAAUCAAAAAGCUGGUCAAAGAUUGGUGUACAUGGAUGUUCAUUGCAUCAUUUUUUUGUAAUUACCAAAAAAAAGUAGAAACAACCUAAGAGUGUAACAGUAGGAGGUGGUUAUAUAAAAUAUAUCCAUACAGCCAUUAAAAAUAUUUUGAAGAACGUAUAAGGACAUGGAAAAAUGCCCAUGAAAUAAUGUGAACUUAAAAAGCAGAAUCUAAAUUUGUAUGCAAAACAAGAUCCUGGGUUUAUAAAAAAAUAUAUCUCUCUCUUUUUAUACAGAGGUGGGAUGAGUAGCCUGGACU
rnacentral:lncRNA from 1 species